CGAACGCUGGCGGCAGGCCUAAUACAUGCAAGUCGAACGGCUCUUCGGAGCAGUGGCGGACGGGUGAGUAACGCGUGGGAAUGUGCCCUUUGGUACGGAACAACACAGGGAAACUUGUGCUAAUACCGUAUGUGCCCUUCGGGGGAAAGAUUUAUCGCCAUUGGAGCAGCCCGCGUUGGAUUAGGUAGUUGGUGAGGUAAAGGCUCACCAAGCCUACGAUCCAUAGCUGGUCUGAGAGGAUGACCAGCCACACUGGGACUGAGACACGGCCCAGAGUCCUACGGGAGACAGCAGUAGGGAAUCUUGCGCAAUGGGCGAAAGCCUGACGCAGCCAUGGCGCGUGUAUGAUGAAGGUCUUAGGAUUGUAAAAUACUUUCACCGGGGAAGAUAAUGACGGUACCCGGAGAAGAAGCCCCGGCUAACUUCGUGCCAGCCGCCGCGGUAAAAC
rnacentral:rRNA from 1 species